GACGAACGCUGGCGGCGUGCUUAACACAUGCAAGUCGAACGGUGAAGCGCCUUCCUUUUUGGUGGGUGUGGAUGAGUGGCGAACGGGUGAGUAACACGUGAGUAACCUGCCCCCUUCUUCUGGAUAACCGCAUGAAAGUGUGGCUAAUACGGGAUAUUCUGGGUCUGUCGCAUGAUGGGUCUGGGACAGAUAUUGUUUCGGUGGGGGAUGGGCUCGCGGCCUAUCAGCUUGUUGGUGGGGUGAUGGCCUACCAAGGCGGUGACGGGUAGCCGGCCUGAGAGGGUGGACGGUCACACUGGGACUGAGACACGGCUCAGACUCCUACGGGACGCAGCAGUGGGGAAUAUUGCACAAUGGGCGCAAGCCUGAUGCAGCGACGCCGCGGGAGGGAUGGAGGCCUGCGGGUUGUGAACCUCUUUCGCCAGUGAAGCAGGCCUGCCUCGUUUGUGGGUGGGUUGACGGUAGCUGGAGAAGAAGCGCCGGCUAACUACGUG
rnacentral:rRNA from 1 species